GCUAUGCACACUUGGUGAUAUUUUAGGACUUCUUUGAAGAAGUCAUCAAGGGGGAACCUCAGCCCGGCUUUCAAUUGUUCCCCGUACACCAAGGUCAUAUCGUCCUCCUCAAAGAAGUGAUCGGCACGAAGAUUGCCGUGACACCGGAUGAGCUCAUACGAAUGGGCCGGAUGUUGUAUUCCUGGCUGAACGACUGCAGGUCGGUUUCUUGCAAGAUCGAUGGUAGCUCGUCCAUAGGAAGGUUCUCUCUCCCUGAAGAAGGCGCAUGCCUUGAUGACGCUGCUUGCUCCCGAGCUGGAACGGGGACCCUAGGAGGUUCGGGUCGCACGCUUGGCCCAACCACCUCUACUUCAUCCGAUGACCAUGAAACGUGAACGGAAAGGGGGCUCG
rnacentral:misc_RNA from 1 species